rnacentral:lncRNA from 1 species
AUUUUUUUUCAUAUAAGGCAGAAACAUCUCUCUUUCCUUACAGAAUAAAAUGCAAAAAACAUGUAAAAGAAUCUAAGCAGAGAAUAAAGAGAAAAAUCAAGACUUGACUAGUCGAGAGACGAUACAUAUGGCAAAGAGUCUCCACCUGCAAGUUCUCUUUGUGCUCAAAAGAUGCUUGCUGGAACUCCAAUAGUUAUGUAUGCAAUCCAUACAGAAUGAAGAGAGAAAUUAGCAAGGGUAAAAGAGGAAUUUGCCAUUAAAUACACAUUUACAAGCUUUCACAGAAGCCUUAUAGAAUGCUGGAAAUUUUUCAUCGGGCCUAUUGCCAUCACCUAAAAAAUUCAGGAAUCCACAACAAAAGGAGCAACAUAAGAAUGAAUAUUGGCUGGAGGCCCAGGAACAUUUUUCCUAUAAUCUCUAUCAAGAGGAUCAGAUUUGGAGUCUGAAAAUAAGAGACACUAAUGUAGACAUGGAAGGAGGAAGGUGACAGAAGCCAUGUUAUAAUUCCUCCAGUAGCAACGAGCAAAAACAUGUGCUUUAUCAGACAUAAAAUUGUUCCCGCAGCCUCCAGAGGUUUUCUUGCAAAACUUCUGCCUCAUGUCUGGAGCCGGAUGUGUUUGUUGCCAAAAGUUUCCUGUGGUUCCUGCAACCUCAUGACUCCCCAACUGUUAGCGGCAAAUCUGAGAACGAUCAGCAGUUUUCCUGAAUCUUGAAGUGUCUAGACUUUUCAUUAGUUUUAUAAAAAGAAAAAACUAUUCUGCUGUAUUAAAUCUUUUUUCCACUUGAAAUAUCUAGAAUGGUUACUGUCGUCCUAACCAAACACAAAUUGAGCAUUGUAUUAUCUUAAGUGGUUCCAUGAAACAAUUAUAAGGAUAGAAUUCUGGGAUUUAUUAUCUGAUGUGUUUAUAUGUAAAAACAGGGAUGACAUCAUUGCCAGUGGACAAAAGGAUACUGAUAGUCGAUGUGAU